UACGUAGGGCGCGAGCGUUGUCCGGAAUUAUUGGGCGUAAAGAGCUCGUAGGCGGCCUGUCGCGUCGGAUGUGAAAGCCCGGGGCUUAACCCCGGGUCGGCAUUCGAUACGGGCAGGCUGGAGUGUGGUAGGGGAGAUCGGAAUUCCUGGUGUAGCGGUGAAAUGCGCAGAUAUCAGGAGGAACACCGGUGGCGAAGGCGGAUCUCUGGGCCAUUACUGACGCUGAGGAGCGAAAGCGUGGGGAGCGAACAGG
rnacentral:rRNA from 1 species